UGGGUGGACGGGGCAGCAUCCCCGUGGCCGUGCCGGGUGUGGACAUGCGGUGUGGGUGCCGGCAGGAGGCGGCCGCAGAGCCCAGCCGGGGCAGAGACGCGGUGCCGGGUCCCAGGAGCCCUGCGGCCUGUGGGAAUGAGAUGAUGCGGGACCCCGACCGUCAUGUUAAGGUAAAGCAGAGGGGCUCAGUGCUGAACAUGCUAAGGAGGCUGGACAAAAUCAGGUUCAGAGGUCACAAGAGAGAUGACUUCCUCGAUCUAGCAGAGUCUCCAAAUGCCUCGGACACCGAAUGCGGGGAUGAAGUGCCCCUGAAAAUACCUCGGACCUCGCCCCGGGACAGCGAGGAGCUGAGGGACCCUGCUGGACCAGGGACCCUCAUCAUGGCUGCAGGAGUCCAGGACUUUAACCGGACAGAGUUUGAUCGAUUAAAUGAGAUCAAAGGUCACCUGGAAAUCGCCUUACUGGAAAAACACUUCUUACAGGAGGAGCUCCGGAAGCUGAGAGAAGAAACCAACUCAGAGAUGCUUCGGCAGGAACUGGACCGGGAGCGGCAGCGGCGGAUAGAGCUGGAGCAGAAGGUCCAGGAGGUGCUGAAGGCCAGGACUGAGGAGCAGACGGCUCAGCAGCCUCCGAAGGGGCAGGCCCAGGUCAAUAACGGAGCAGACCGGCGCAGCCAGGGGCUGUGCCCCCGUGUCCAGAAGUGGUUCUACGAGAAGUUUGGGGAGUACAUGGAGGACUUCCGGUUCCAGCCCGAGGAGAGCACCGUGGAGACCGAGGAGCCCCUCAGCGCCCGGAGGUUGACGGAAAACAUGAGACGACUAAAGCGCGGCGCCAAGCCCGUCACCAGCUUCGUGAAGAACCUCUCUGCCUUAUCCGACUGGUACUCCGUCUACACGUCUGCCAUCGCCUUCACCGUGUACAUGAAUGCUGUGUGGCAUGGCUGGGCCAUUCCCAUGUUCCUAUUUCUAGCAAUUUUGAGGUUAUCCCUCAAUUACCUCAUAGCCAGGGGCUGGAGGAUACAGUGGAGCAUCGUGCCUGAAGUGUCUGAACCGGUGGAACCUCCGAAGGAAGACCUGACCGUGUCUGAGAAGUUCCAGCUCGUGCUGGAUGUUGCCCAGAAAGCCCAGAACCUCUUUGGCAAGAUGGCUGACAUCCUGGAGAAGAUCAAGAACCUGUUCAUGUGGGUCCAGCCUGAGAUCACGCAAAAGCUGUAUGUGGCGCUGUGGGCCGCCUUCCUCGCCUCCUGCUUCUUCCCCUACCGCCUCGUGGGACUGGCCGUGGGACUCUACGCCGGGAUCAAGUUUUUCCUCAUCGACUUUAUCUUCAAACGCUGCCCGAGACUACGAGCCAAAUACGACACCCCAUACAUCAUCUGGAGGAGCCUGCCCACGGACCCACAGCUCAAGGAGCGCUCCAGCGCCGCCGUGUCGCGCCGGCUACAGACAGCCUCCUCGCGGAGCUACGUCUCCAGUGCACCCGCCGGCCUGAACAAGGACGAAGACACCGGUCGCUUCCACGGUACCAAGAAGGGCAAUUUCCACGAAAUCUUUAACCUAACGGAAAAUGAGCGACCGCUGGCAGUGUGCGAGAACGGCUGGCGCUGCUGCCUCAUAAACCGGGACCGCAAGAUGCCCACAGACUACAUCCGCAACGGGGUUCUGUACGUGACGGAGAAUUACCUGUGCUUCGAAAGCUCCAAAUCCGGUUCUUCCAAGAGAAACAAAGUCAUCAAGCUGAUGGACAUCACAGACAUCCAGAAGUACAAGGUCCUCUCCGUCCUCCCGGGCUCAGGCAUGGGGAUCGCGGUGUCCACGCCAUCAACCCAGAAACCGCUGGUGUUCGGUGCCAUGGUACAUAGAGACGAGGCCUUCGAGACCAUUUUCAGCCAGUACAUGAAAAUCACGGCGGCGGCAGCAUCUGGCAGUGACAGCUAGUGUUGAUUCUCCCGGGACGAUGCUGGAAAGGGUUUUGUUUUGUUUUUUCUUUUUUUCUUUUUUUUUUUUUUUAACAAUUUGAUAGUGGAAAAAAAAUGGACGUCCUCCCGAUCUUUUGCAAUAAUUCCCCUCGAUCUGUGGUUUUUAUUGUGUUUGCCCUGCGCUCUGCGGACCCCUUCACGCAGGGGUGGGGCCCUCAGAUGCAGCCCGCCCUUCUGACGGUGAGGCGUGCCCCGCGAGCUCGGGGGCGCGGAGGGCAGGGGACCCUGGACGCCGGUGUAAAGGAUGAUGCACGGGAGCCACCGGCCCCGGCCCCCGCCUAGGACCGCUGCUGUCUGCCCCCGACGGAGAGCCCGCACCAGCCGCGCACCCAGCGCUCCAGGGGCCGCCGCCCUUCCACACCAAAGCCAUAGCUGAGGCGCACCUGCCGUCCCUCUUCCGGGGGUGACAGACGCAGGGAGGAGCGGCUUGGAGGCCCCUCCACAGCACCACGAGCGGGACCCUGGGUCUCCUUGGUCCAGCGAGGCCUUCUGCAGCGUGUGGCCAGGGUGAGCCCGGGUGGGGGGCGCGGCUCUGCGUGGCCUGUGCCCUGUGCCCACCUCCCGUGGGCGCCGACAGGCUGGCUGGGCCCGGGCCCCACCCCCACCUGCUGCCUCGGCCUCCCGUGCCACCGGGGCCUGGAGUUGGUGACCCCGCGAGGAUUGGAUGGCACGCGCGGGUAGAAGCACAUCUUUUUAACACUCUGCUCUUUGGAGAGCCCCAUGGGACACCUGCCAGGCUCUCGGGCCACACGGGGCUUUGGUGGCUCGCAUAUGAGGAUCAACUGCGGCUUGGCUGGUGCCGCCUCGAGGCUGCAGCCACCUGGAUGUAAUUUUUACCUUUGCUCCAAUCCGGAUGUGCUGGUUUGGGUGAGACCUGGUGGCGGCGCUCACGUCCCCCUUCCCAGGGACCUCAGGGCCCCCCGCCGGGGCCCGGGUGGCGCUCCCGGGGGGCCGCCCAGCAGCCUGAUGAAGCACACACCCCGCCCGGCCGGUGAGGUCUGAGGGCACCGCGGCGCCCUCCGCUCACUGCGACCCCCAGGGGACCCGAGUCAGGACCCACUGAGCCUCGGCUCGGGCUCCCCCAGGUGGCACCGGCGGCCUGGCUCUCGUGGGCCAGGAGCGGCCCCAGGGACCGGGGGCAGGGUGGUGCCCGUGGGUUCCACUCACACCCGUCCCCGGGCCGCCAGGGGUCCGCGUGUGCCCGCAGGGGGGCCGCCCUUGCCAGCAGAGCGGGUGGUUUGGUUCGAGUCCCUUCUGAGGAGAAAGGGAGAUGAAAACUGACCACGUGGGGGGGGCGGGGGGCCCGGGAAGCCGGCUCUGCCCGCAGGGGGGCGGCCUCCCCGCCUCCCCGCUUCCCGGCUGAGCGCCCGUAGUUUCUCUCAAAUUGUGUAAAUCUGGGCAGAUGUUUAAUUUCUAUGACUAAUCACUGAACUAGAAUGAAUGUUACAUUUUUUAUGUCCGAAGCUUGAGUCUAUUUUGAAUCUGUAAAUAAUCGUUCCUGGUGUCACUUUUGUUCAACAAAAGGAUCGUACUGUAUGAAGAACCGAUGAAAACCCCCAUAACAUUUUUUUAAGAAAACUUUGUUUGUUUAAAGAAGUCUUGUAUAAAUUAUAAUUUUUAUUUAAAUAAA